rnacentral:lncRNA from 1 species
AUGCUGGUCCUAAACUCCUGGCCUCAAGUGAUCCUCCUGCCUCAGCCUCCCAAACUGUCGGAAUUGCAGAUGGAGCCUGAGUUUUAUCAUUAUCAAUUCGAAUACAUCAUGUCAACAAGAGGUUUACUUCAUUUUCCUGGAGAAUUCACUGAGAGUUGAAGGUCAAGGUGCUUCAAAUAUCAUGAGAGGUGGCUGGGCAAGUGGCUCACGCCUGUAAGUCCCAGCACUUUGGGAAGCUGAGGCGGACAGAUCAGCUGAGAUCAGAAGUUGGAGAUCAGCCUGGGCAACAUGGUGAAACCCCAUCUCUACUAAAAAUACGAAAAUUAGCCGGGUGUGGUGGCACAUACCUAUAACCUCAGCUAUUUGAGAAGCCAAGGCUGAGAGUUGCUUAAACCCUGGAGAAGGAGGUUGCAGUGAGCUGAGAUCAUGCCACUGUACUCCAGCAUGGGGGACAGAGUGAGACUUCAUCUCAAAAAAAAAAACAAAACAAAACUAAAAAAUCAUCAGAGGCCACCGGAUUUGUUGGAAAUGCACUAACCGUGGCCA